rnacentral:piRNA from 1 species
GUCACACUCAACCCAUAUACACACUCUGCA